rnacentral:lncRNA from 1 species
GUUAUUUACCUUGUCCAUGCUCGUCCUGCACGAAUAGUGAAGUGAUUCCUAUAAAGGAGAUGAGGAAGCAUGUUUUCAUAAAUGGUUGGUUGAAACAUUACGAUGUUUGGACGCGUCACGGAGAGUUACCGAGUAGAUAUGGUGAGAAAAAAGUGAAACGAAAAGAAACAGUGCCGGAAACUGGUAACGAUAUGAUUGGAUUGGUUCGUGCGGUUUACGGAGAACAUGUAGUUGACAAUACAGUCGACGAAGAUUUUCUCGAAACAGAACCUCUCGAAUACGAGCCUGUCCAUGAAGAUCCAGUCGAUGUAGAUCCAGUCGACGAAGAUCCAGAGCAGAGAUAUGACGAUUCGUUCUUACGCCGUCUAAAAGAAGGUG